UACGGAGGGGGCUAGCGUUGUUCGGAAUUACUGGGCGUAAAGCGCAUGUAGGCGGCUUUACAAGUCAGGGGUGAAAGCCCGGAGCUCAACUCCGGAAUUGCCCUUGAGACUGUAUCGCUUGAACACGGGAGAGGUGAGUGGAAUUCCGAGUGUAGAGGUGAAAUUCGUAGAUAUUCGGAAGAACACCAGUGGCGAAGGCGGCUCACUGGACCGUUGUUGACGCUGAGGUGCGAAAGCGUGGGGAGCAAACAGG
rnacentral:rRNA from 1 species